ACUCGGCAGUGGCGGACGGGUGAGUAACGCGUAGGAAUCUAUCCUUGAAUGGGGGACAACCGUGGGAAACUACGGCUAAUACCGCAUGAUCCGCGAGGGACGGAACGAACGAACGUAACGCCGUUGAGGAGGAGCCUGCGUCUGAUUAGGUAGUUGGUGGGGUAAAGGCCUACCAAGCCUGCGAUCAGUAGCUGGUCUGAGAGGAUGAUCAGCCACACUGGGACUGAGACACGGCCCAAACUCCUACGGGAGGCAGCAGUGGGGAAUAUUGGACAAUGGGCGAAAGCCUGAUCCAGCAAUGCCGCGUGUGUGAAGAAGGUCUUCGGAUUGUAAAGCACUUUUGGCAGGGACGAUGAUGACGGUACCUGCAGAAUAAGCCCCGGCUAACUUCGUG
rnacentral:rRNA from 1 species